rnacentral:sRNA from 13 species
CAGCUCAAAUAUCCAGUUAUGAAGUGCAAAACUAUCAACAGCCACAAGCCAAUUUCUGCCAAUACAACACAGAAGAGACGUUCAAGCACUCGGACAGAGGAUGGUGACAGACAAACUACUGGUUAUUACAUGUGUGCUGUGAUUUCCUGUACAAAGGUGAAUACCUUGUUUACGCUAUCGUUUCGAUAGGAUCAAACUGUAACUUCAGAGGCGGUGACCACAUCAACAACUUUGUCUCCCAUAGCAAGAAAAAUGAAAAUAACCCAGUUCCCAGAUAGGUCUCUACAUAAACCGAUGAUCUACGACAUUCCCACUA